UACGUAGGGUGCGAGCGUUGUCCGGAAUUAUUGGGCGUAAAGAGCUCGUAGGCGGUCUGUCGCGUCGGUCGUGAAAACUUGGGGCUUAACCCUGAGCUUGCGGUCGAUACGGGCAUGACUGGAGUUCGGUAGGGGAGACUGGAAUUCCUGGUGUAGCGGUGAAAUGCGCAGAUAUCAGGAAGAACACCCGUGGCGAAGGCGGCUCUCUGGGACGGUACUGACGCUGAGACGCGAAAGCGUGGGGAGCGAACAGG
rnacentral:rRNA from 1 species